rnacentral:rRNA from 1 species
GACGAACGCUGGCGGCGUGCUUAACACAUGCAAGUCGAACGGAAAGGCCCUUCGGGGUACUCGAGUGGCGAACGGGUGAGUAACACGUGGGUGAUCUGCCCUGCACUUUGGGAUAAGCCUGGGAAACUGGGUCUAAUACCGAAUAGGACCACGCGCUUCAUGGUGUGUGGUGGAAAGCUUUUGCGGUGUGGGAUGGGCCCGCGGCCUAUCAGCUUGUUGGUGGGGUAAUGGCCUACCAAGGCGACGACGGGUAGCCGGCCUGAGAGGGUGACCGGCCACACUGGGACUGAGAUACGGCCCAGACUCCUACGGGAGGCAGCCGUGGGGAAUAUUGCACAAUGGGCGCAAGCCUGAUGCAGCGACGCCGCGUGAGGGAUGACGGCCUUCGGGUUGUAAACCUCUUUCAAUAGGGACGAAGCGCAAGUGACGGUACCUAUAGAAGAAGCACCGGCCAACUACGUG